AUCGCUAUGGCUUAGUGGGAAAGCGCCAGGCUCAUACCACUGUUGUGAUCACCUGGAGAUCCCUCGAUCGAAACGAGGUGGCGAUA
rnacentral:tRNA from 1 species